AGCGAACGUUUGCGGCGGGCUUAACACAUGCAAGUCGAACGAGAAUCCCUUCGGGGAGGAAAGUGGCGCACGGGUGCGUAACACGUGGAUAACCAACCCAUUGGUUUGGGACAACACCGGGAAACUGGUGCUAAUACCAGAUGUGUCGCAGCUGUCUUCAGGCGGUUGCGAGAAAGGCCCGCAAGGGUCGCCAACGGACGGGUCCGCGUCCCAUCAGCUAGUUGGUGAGGUAAUGGCUCACCAAGGCAAAGACGGGUAGCUGGUCUGAGAGGAUGAUCAGCCACACUGGAACUGAGACACGGUCCAGACUCCUACGGGAGGCAGCAGUGGGGAAUAUUGCGCAAUGGGCGAAAGCCUGACGCAGCCACGCCGCGUGAGCGAUGAAGGUCUUCGGAUCGUAAAGCUCUGUGGGGGGAGAAGAAGAAAGCCGGUGAAGAGCCGGCCCUGACGGUAUCCCCUUAGCAAGCACCGGCUAACUCCGUGCCAGCAGCCGCGGUAAAGUAG
rnacentral:rRNA from 1 species